rnacentral:rRNA from 1 species
UACGGAGGGGGCUAGCGUUGUUCGGAAUUACUGGGCGUAAAGCGCACGUAGGCGGACUGUUAAGUCGGGGGUGAAAUCCUGGGGCUCAACCUCAGAAUUGCCUCCGAUACUGGCAGUCUCGAGUGCGGGAGAGGUGAGUGGAAUUCCCAGUGUAGAGGUGAAAUUCGGUAGAUAUUGGGAAGAACACCAGUGGCGAAGGCGGCUCACUGGCCCGUAACUGACGCUGAGGUGCGAAAGCGUGGGGAGCAAACAGG